rnacentral:misc_RNA from 1 species
CGCGGUGUAGGACUUGUUGCAAGAGCCGAGGAUUUGAGUGCCAAACCCAUGUUAAAAGCACAUGGGUUCCUGCUUCUAAACGCCGAGAGAGGCAACAACAACUCGAUGCCUUGCCGCACCAGCAGCAGCAACAGCAACUGCAACUUCGGGGAGAGAAUCCCAAAAGACUUAGAGAGAAUCCAAGCUCUUCCUCUCUCGCCUGCACUCGCUUACCCACCAACGCGUCAGGGUUGGAACUGGGAAAUUUCCCUGCAGAAGUUAGCUCUCCCGCUGUUUUUCGCUGCGUAAGAGUGAGUGGAAUUGACGAAAAUGAUGAUGAUCAGUACGCUUAUCAAACGGCUGUCAACAUUGGAGGCCAUUUGUUCAAAGGUAUUCUUUAUGAUCAUGGCCCUGAAAGCACCUACAUGCCUGCUGCUGAAACCUCCUCCGCUGGUGCUAGUGGCGGAUUUCAACCGCCUAACUUAAUCACAGCUGGUACUGCCACCGCAUCCGCUGCAAUCUCUCCCACCGGUGGCGUAACGUCUGCUUCAUCAAGUGCAGCGGUAGCAUUUAUGGAUCCUUCAUCUCUAUACCCAACUCCAUUGAACACUUUCGUUGCUGGUACGCCAUUCUUCCCAAAUCCAAGAUCAUGAAAUGAAAACCAC